CCUGCCCAAUGAGGAAUUAAAUGGCCGCAGUAUUUUGACUGUGCAAAGGUAGCAUAAUUAUUAGUUUUUUAAUUGAAAGCUUGUAUGAAGGGUUGGACGAGAUAAAAUCUGUCUUUAUUUAAAUUACAAUAGAAUUUAACUUUUAAGUCAAAAGGCUUAAAUGUAUAUAAAAGACGAGAAGACCCUAUAGAUCUUUAUUUAAUUAAUAUUUUGAUAAUUUAAGAUUAUUUUAGUUUAAAGUUUUAAUUAAAUUUNAUUGGGGUAAUAUAGAGAUUAAAUAAAUUCUUUUUAUUUAUUACAUUGAUUUAUGAAUAUAUGAUCCAAUAUUAUUGAUUAUAAGAUUAAGUUACCUUAGGGAUAACAGCGUAAUUUUUUUGGAGAGCUCAUAUCGAUAAAAAAGUUUGCGACCUCGAUGUUGGAUUAAAAAUUAGCUUGGGUGCAGAAGCUCAAGAUUUUGGUCUGUUCGACCAUUAAAUUUUUACAUGAUCUGAGUUCAGACCGGCGUAAGCCAGGUCGGUUUCUAUCUUUAUUUAUCUAAAAUAUUUUAGUACGAAAGGACCAAAUAUUUAAUAUAAUUAUAUUUCUUUUUUGAAUAAUAUU
rnacentral:rRNA from 1 species